rnacentral:rRNA from 1 species
UAGCAGAGGUCUCAAGCGUUGUUCGGAUUCAUUAGGGCGUAAAGGGUGCGUAGGUGGCGCCGUAAGUCGGGUGUGAAAUUUCGGAAGCUUAACUCCGAAACUGCAUUCGAUACUGCGGUGCUUGAGGACUGGAGAGGAGACUGGAAAUUCAUGGUGUAGCAGUGAAAUGCGUAGAGAUCAUGAGGAAGACCAGUGGCGAAGGCGGGUCUCUGGACAGUUCCAUGACACUGGAGGCACGGAAGGCCAGGGGAGCAAACGGG